UAACUUUUGGUGAAGCAGCAAAGGAAACACACGGCAUGUGUAACUUUGAAACAGAAUAAUAAACAACUUCAACCUCUAUGGAUGGGUUUUAUCUGGCAGUUGCUCACUCUUUUCCCUCUUGCGUUAUUUUGGAAAGAGAUGAACCAGUUACCUCUGCCUCCCUCCUUCUCUACGGUGCCAAUCAAACCAUCUGGAGUAAAUGGAUAAACUGCUGCAGGAAACGGCCUCUUUUCAAGACAACUCACCACGCAGCCAGUGGAGUCCAGCUUGCGAUCAGAGAUGCAACGGAAAUUUCGGCUGCAGCCUCCGUUGUCUUUUGAACAGUCUCGCACAGGCCCAAAAGAGUCGAGAAGCACCUCCAGACUGUCGAAGGACGAAGAAAUCAUCAGCUCCUCCCUGAUGGACAAUGAUGCAUAGUAAACUCAGUUAGUAAUGGCAGGUUAAUUACCAAACAACCUCUAGCAUCUAUAGACAUCAUUAGGAAAAAGCAUAUUUAUAUUCUGAUUGUUAUUGUGUUAUAUUUACUUUAUAGAAAAUUACCUACACAGGUCAAGCACUGGAUAUUAAAGAGAAAUGUGAAGUAGAAAAUAACUAUUCUUUGUCUCUUAUACGCUACCAUAAAUCCAGUUAAAGAGAAAAGCUUUACAGAGCACCAAGAGUAAACACCACCACUGAUGGCUAAACCUUGAACAGAUGAACUGCUGUGCUCUGACCUUGGUUUCAGCUGUGGCUGGAAAAAUUGCAUUGGCUGAUGCUUUUCCUCCCUUUACUAGAGCACUUGAAACAUCCAAAUAUUUAUCAUUACUAUGAAAUAUGAAUGGGCAAUGGUCAUGAUGAAGGAGCAAACCAGUGACCUUUUAUUGUCUAAUAUAUUUUAAGAGUGUGAAAUCACCAGGUUGCUAGAGAAGUGCAGUGCUGUGAUAAAUGGAUUCAUUCUGCUACUGUGAUUUCAGUUUCAAGACAGAAAUACUGCCUUACAUUUUUUCUGUUAUGAAGUGUCAUGGUCUGUCAGUUAUGUAAAUGACAAUCAAAUAAGUGCAUGUAUAAAUACAAAAAUAAAUGAAUAAUUUAAAAAGCGAGAGGGGGAGAGACAGAAAAAAACCCUUGAAGAUACCUUUGUUUAGAUUACACAUUCAGUCCAAAAACCUGAAACUAAUAAAAGAAAAACCCAUUUUGAAGACCUAUUUAAAGGGGUUAUGGUUAUAGGUCCACUGGUGAAGUUAUUAAAUGAUCAUAAGUAAAACAAUAACCAUUUUUUUUUUUUUUGUUAUUGUGUUAUAUUUACUUUAUAGAAUACACUGAAAAUUACCCACACAGGUCAAGAACUGUAAAUUAAAGAGAAAUGUGGAUAUUAAAGAGAAAAUAUCCACAUUCAUAUCCACACUUUUUUCCAAACAUAUACUGUUACUGCAGUUAGUUUGCUUAAUUCUUCAGAAUGACAAAAUAAAGCUGUAAAAUGUGUCAAUUAUAAUGUGUCAGAUUGAAAUGACAGAUAAAAAUAAAGAUUCCUUAUAAUAGGACAUAUCAUGUUGUGUGUGUUUUUUUU